GACGAACGCUGGCGGCGUGCUUAACACAUGCAAGUCGAACGAUGAAGCCGGAGCUUGCUCUGGUGAAUUAGUGGCGAACGGGUGAGUAACACGUGAGUAACCUGCCCUUGACUCUGGGAUAACUGCGGGAAACUGUAGCUAAUACCGGAUACGACCCUCGGAGGCAUCUCCUGGGGGUGGAAAGAAUUUCGGUCAAGGAUGGACUCGCGGCCUAACAGCUAGUUGGUGAGGGAAAGGCUCACCAAGGCGACGACGGGUAGCCGGCCUGAGAGGGUGACCGGCCACACUGGGACUGAGACACGGCCCGGACUCCUACGGGAGGCAGCAGUGGGGAAUAUUGCACAAUGGGCGCAAGCCUGAUGCAGCAACGCCGCGUGAGGGAUGACGGCCUUCGGGUUGUAAACCUCUUUUAGCAGGGAAGAAGCGAAAGUGACGGUACCUGCAGAAAAAGCACCGGCUAACUACGUGCCAGCAGCCGCCGUAA
rnacentral:rRNA from 1 species